AUGUUCAAAGAGACUACUCUUCUUAUGAUUUCGAGACAUGCCAUAUUACACUUGCGAAUCUCAUUCAAUUCAAAGAGAUUAUUCAAACUUCUAAUUCAAGAGUAUUCAAGUUUCUUUAUACAAUCUUUCAAGAAUAUCUCAAGUUGUUUUUCUAUGCCUAAGCUUCAACAUCAAAUUCUACAUUGGAUUUCUCCAUGUUGCAAACUUUUCCAUCAAUUCUUCAAAGAAGCAAGCUCUUGA